AGUGCGUUUUCGUUAAACUAUAGGCUGUGGCGAGCUCGCAGCGUGGUCGGCGUGGUCUGUGAGAAGUGACGAGCCUUUUCGCAUUCGCAACAGGGCAUAACAAAGUGCGAAUCGACGCAAAACUCGGCCUAGAAACGUGCUUCGCCACAACCAGGGCUCAAUACAACCCAAGCUGGCAUGACCCAACGAGCACAUCGAAAUUGGACUUCACCGCUCUUUCUGCGCACGCGCGAGGAGCAGUGGUUGCGAGAGAGAAAUGUGGGGACUUUAGGUGCUCAAAAUUUCUCGUCGUUUAGGUACUAUGGGGAAGAAAACCGUUUGCUCCGUUUGUCCCUAGCCGAGCUUGCAGCACAGAAUCGACAGGAUGCGUGGCCGGCAAGGCGAAAAAGCCGCGUCCGAGCUGUCAUCUUCUAGGAAGCAGGCGCUCAUGCUUGGAGACCUGCAGAGCACGAACUGCAGCAUGUAUGCCGAAAUAAACAGCUAUUGCCUAUUUAAAAUAGAACCAAUGUAAGGCAAGGCCCCUUUUUUGCUGUACUGUGCUUGCGAAUUGCAAAGCAAUGAUAAGACACAAUGUAGAAAGAAACAUUUUCUUUUAUUUGGCGGACAUUAGAGUGGCAUCAAAAAAAAAAAAGACUAUUGAGCCGCCCCAAGUCAGUCACUACACUAAGUAGCUCCACUGCAAUUCACAUGACCUAGGAAUCCCAGCCAUACAACCAAAUGAUUAUUCGUAUAAGUGACGAUCAAGAUCAUUCUUCACUUGAAUGCCACGGAGCGCUGUUCAGUAACAGCAGUCAGUUUGUGUCCCUGCAAGCAGGAAUAUUAAUUCGUGUUUUGGUUAUUGGUGACAUAACAAAAUUUAUAGUUUUCUGGCCCAUCAGAUGUUUGAAUCAGAAAUAACUUCUCCAAAGAUGUACACCUUGCCACCGGUACAUGCAGGAUGAUUUGCGGUGGCCAGAGACUUUUGAGUGGGACUUCGGUACCAAUGGAGGUAUAAUGUGUGUGCAUGCUUCAGUACAAGGGAGAUUGGAGGCAGCAUCAAGGCAACCUAUAGGCACUGUAUGAAAAAUCUUGAAAGCUAUGCUAUUUGUUAAUGCUCUUCUGCCCUCUGCACUUGAUAGAAUACUUUCCAGGUUUAAUUUCAAUCAGAAAAGAAAUUUAGUAUUUUCUCAUGCUACCUUGACAUGCAAACAAGUUUUUGUCAUGUAGGAGGAGGAGGGGAGGGUUAGGUUAAACUACAACACAAUCUAUAAGUUUUUCAGCGUCCUAUUUCAUGUGUGGUACACUUUCUUUAAUUUGGCUUGCUGACCUGGCAGUCGCAUAGUCUUAGGCCAGGGAUGACUGGAUGGGAGAAGACAAUGAGGGAUACUGUUCAUUGUUUAAUAUGCGCUUGUGUACUAUAAUAUGUAAAAAUAAAGAAACGAGUGAUAUUUUUAUGCUUCAA